rnacentral:rRNA from 1 species
CGUACACUCCGGGAGGCAGCAGUGGGGAAUAUUGGACAAUGGGCGCAAGCCUGAUCCAGCCAUGCCGCGUGAGUGAUGAAGGCCCUAGGGUUGUAAAGCUCUUUCACCGGUGAAGAUAAUGACGGUAACCGGAGAAGAAGCCCCGGCUAACUUCGUGCCAGCAGCCGCGGUAAUACGAAGGGGGCUAGCGUUGUUCGGAUUUACUGGGCGUAAAGCGCACGUAGGCGGACUAUUAAGUCAGGGGUGAAAUCCCGGGGCUCAACCCCGGAACUGCCUUUGAUACUGGUAGUCUUGAGUUCGAGAGAGGUGAGUGGAAUUCCGAGUGUAGAGGUGAAAUUCGUAGAUAUUCGGAGGAACACCAGUGGCGAAGGCGGCUCACUGGCUCGAUACUGACGCUGAGGUGCGAAAGCGUGGGGAGCAAACAGGAUUAGAAACCCGAGUAGUCCCA